rnacentral:lncRNA from 1 species
GUUUUUUUUUUUUGUAUACAUGGAAAUGAAAUCAGAUCUCUCAACUUUUGGCUACGUUCUUUUCAAAAACAGAAAACAAAAACAGAUUUUAGGUGAUUGGCAGUGCUUGGAUUUCCUACAAGUCCAGAAAAAACGUCCUCCAGUUAUCUUGUUAUAUAAGUUCGGACCAUGUUUUGAAAUCAUGUCAUGAACACGUUUGGAAUUCAGCGAUUUCAAGCAAAAGCACUAGGGUUCCAAGACACCAUACACCAACAGACCAAACAUGAAUUACACGAUCCCUUCAUGAAAUUCCACGGAAUUCAAACGGUAAACCUUACAGCGGGGGAGUUCAGACAGCAGGCAGCAGCCGGUUCGACGUUCAACACAGUACCAGUAUAAGUUUCAGGCUCAUGCUUUUAUUCUGUCCGACCCGGACGACACUCGGUGCGACAUCAUCAUAAUGUUCUCGAUCCCAUACCGAACUGUUACAGGCAUCAACAGCCAUGGAAUGGCAUAGCGCGGUGGAUAACGGCAUGUCUGCGACACUUCAGUUCAAAAUUCAGCAGGCGUUACACGACGUCCAGAAUACUUAUUACUACUGCAACGAGACGGCAUGGGCGCAGCAAAUGGCAGAGUUCCGUUCAAAAAAGGCCAUGGGAGCUACUCGGUGGCUUCCUUGUUCUCGGCCGCCUUGGCCUCCUCGGUGGACUCCUGGGUCGGGGUCGUCACCUCCGUAGGCGAGUUGGCGCCCUCUGCAAUGGCAAAGAUGGCAAAGCGAUGCUUGUGAUGAUGGCAAGAUAAAUGUACUGGAUUGCUUGCUUGGUAUCUUGUAAAUAUGAAGUACCGUCGCUGUCAGUAGAUGCAUGAAGGAAUCGGCGUGAACGGGCUUGCUGCUGGGUAGGCUGCAGGAACAUCGAGGAAGAUGUAAGCGACCAAAUAAAUUCAGUGUAGCAUGCAAGUUAAUUUCAUAAUUAUUACCACAUUUUUGACAGCAAAAGGAUAGCUCCACAAGCAAAGACUUACUAACAAGAAUGAGGUGACAAAACGUGUAAUUGACACUGAAUCUAGUUUAAAUACUGGGCCAAAAAACUGGAUAUGUCAUCUAUUGGAUUGUUAGAAAGACUCCCAAAUGCGCAAAUGGACCAGCUAGCAGCUGGUGCCAAACGGAGAAAGUAUCAACAGUAGUAGUGUAGUACGUCUGAUAACAGAAUCAGCUCCACAAGCAAAGAAUUACUAACAGGACUAGCGGGCAGGUACCUUGAACUGAGUUCAUUUUAAACACUAUACCAAAAGAUGGAUAUGUAUCUAUUGGGUUAAUAGAAAGACCAGCAAAUACACUAAUGAAAGAGCUAGCGGAUAAUGUCAAACAGAUACAGUAUCAACAGUGGUAUAAUACAAGGUAAGCACAAUCAUGCAAACAAUGAGUGCCAGUUUUAGCACCUGUAAUUUCGGUCGAAGUGCUUCAAGCGGCCCUUUAGGCUUUUGAGGAUGUCCUCCUUGCUGCAGGAAACCAAACGAUCAGGUGAGCAAGAUCGCGUAGGUGUUGCAUUGCUUCCUCAAAAUCCAUAUAACUUCCGAAAAGAACAGUACAAUACCUUUCCCAGAGCCCAAUCAGCAGAAUCAAAGUAAGCUCGCUCAUGGUCCUGAUAACACAUUUUAACACAGGUGAAACUAAUGGAUAUGGGGCUAAAAUUAAUUUAUCUUCCCUGACUGCUUUAUACAUAGAUGACAUAAACAUUUAACAGUAGUAGGUAGUAAUAUAUUGAAGGCAAUGAUACCUUGGAUAUGAGUGGUGACUUUUUGGGCAGUACUCCUCCAUACUUUUUCUUGAUUACUGCUUCCUGCAAAUACUUGGUAAAGUCGGAUUGUGCUUAUGGAUAUAUUUUUGACAGUUUUACAUAGAAAGUAAAUUAGUAAAAUCGUACAGAUGGAAACAUGCAAGCACACAAGGUUAAGCAGUACACUUGUUAACAAAAGAUGAUACCUCUUGCUGUGCUGAUGGCAUCUCAUUUCCUUUAUCCUGGUUGGCAGUUUCCACUUUCACAUCAGAAACAUCUCCUUCAGGCCUCACCUGGCCAGUCGUAUCAUCAGAUGGCUUCUCCGACAUACUGUACGAAUGGAUGCUCAAACAAGCUACAAGAAGAUAGAUUUCUAUCAGAUAAUUUAUCUCAAUGCCAUCAAAAUUAGUAGGCAUAAAACACACCAGGGCAUAGGCAAAUUAGAAAGAAAUCUGAAGCAUAUUCUGGGAAGAUAUUGACAUUUCAACCAUAAUGUAGCAGUACAAAGAACAUGUUUACAUAAACACAUACUGGGAAGUCAAUGUAAUAAGACAUACAAAAUUUACUUUGGAAAAAUGGAGGUAAAUAAAACUGCAUAACCCAUCCUGAUCCUGGGGUAUCUCUGUUUUCGAAAAGGGAACCAGACACCAACUAAUACUGGCCCAGCUCUUCAACAGGUCUUGCAGUAGCGUUUCUAAGUCCUAACGUCAAACCUAACACCGGCAUACCAUCUUGAACCAAGGUUGUUGCUCGGUCAGGUACUGGGAGUGGGACAAGCAAUAACUGCAAAAGUGGACUAUUGUCCUUGACAGGACUGGAUGAAGGCAGUAAGCCUGAACCCAACAAAUGUACAUAAGUAUACCCCAGGACUUCAACAGAAGUACUUGAAGCCAACCAAAAAAAAAAAAGAACAGCACCUACGAUUUAACCUCUCCGUCUACGGCAAAUCAACAUUUCAAGAGUGCUAAAAUUUUUUUCAGAAAAAGAAGAGUGCUAAAUGAUAUAACUGCAAAAGUGGCAACGUUCUGAAUAGGGCCAUUGUCCUUGACAGGACUGGAUGAAGGCAGUCAACCUGCACCCGACAUUUGUACAUAAGUUUUUCGGACUUCAGUAGAAGUGCUUGAAGCCAACAAGUAACAAAGUACAGCACGAUUUAUCCUCGCUAUGCAUGGCAAAUCAACAAUCAGGAAUGCUAAAUGAUACCACGACAAGAUCUGCGAUCACUUGGGUCUGAUGCAUGACCUGCCACACAACCCAGUGCAGGGAACAGAGACACUGCUCACACGAAUGAUGUCCCUCUCUCCGGCCAACCUAUGAGCUACUCCGUCGGACAAGCUCCUCAAGCAUAUAACUCACGAACCAAUCAAGCUCUGGGCCGAAACUCUGGUGCCCCGAAAUUCCGCCCGCCCGUUCCUGGCGAGGCGCUGGAAGGGGAGGCGAGGCACGCGGCCAGAGCUACCGCCGCUCGUCUGAGGCCUACCGGGGGACGGAUCUAGGCGGCGCGCACGAGAUUCGCGGGCGGCGGCGAGGGCCUGGCGAUUCGCUGGAGCUCGUACCUCGGGAUCGGGCGGGGUCGCGGCGAUGCGGGACGCGGACGCGCGUCAGAGGCGGAGGAGGCGACGGAGACGCGUGGGAGGCGGAGGGAGGGAGGGGUCUGGGGAGCGAGGCCGCCGGCGGCGAGGCGGGGCUAGGGCACGGCGGUGGCCGGGCGGCGGUGGUAGGUCGCCAGGGGAGGGGGGAGGGCGACGAGGAGGAAUCGGCGAAGAAAUGCAAGGGACGGUGGAGAGCCGCGGUCUAUGAGUGGUAACUGAAUCUGAUUCCACCUUCUCUUUUUUUUUCUUUUCUUCUUUUUUCUUUUUUCUUUUUUUGCCACGAACGGAAUGGAAAAGGGUAAAAUGUGAAAGGGAGCAUCCUGCCAAAAAAAAUACCUUCAAAAGAACUCUUUCAGAAACUUCCUUUUUUUUUAAUUCGGACGCUUUUUGGGCCCGAUGAAGCGCAAAACGACGAUCGAUUUUUGACCGGGUCGAUUCAAAAGCCAUCGCCGCAUAUUUUCUUGAACACAGUACAUAAGCAAGCGCCCAUAUACACACGCAUACGCUCAUCCCUAUUUGAGGAACGAAACACGGGGGUAGGCUCUCUUUUUUCCGGAAUUUGAAAAUUUCCAAAUUUAAGAUGAUGUAUGUUAUCGAGCCCCAUCAUCCCGGUUGUUUUCACGCCUUAUCGUCGAACUACCGCUCAUAUCAUAGAGCGUAAAACAUGUCGAAUUCAAGGUUCCGGCGAUAUGAUGAGGAACUGGGAUUUCAAGUAGCGUUCACCAUCAAUCAUCGAUCAUCCAUGGUCUAUGAUGGUUUACCAAAGUCGAAGAACUCCCCGCAAAAAAUAAAGUGAUCGAAUAACUCAUCUUCCACUGACAAUAUCUUUAUUUAUAUUAUUACUCUCUCCCUUUUGGUUUGCCAAGGCAUAUGCAUUUUAAUUACUCUCUCCUUUUUGGUUUGCAAAGGCAUGUGCAUUUUUUUACUCAGGUCAAACGCUUUAAAGCCUGACCAAAAUUAUAGAAAAAACGUCAACAUCAACAAUACAGAAUCAAUAUCAUCAAAUACAUCAUGAAAUGUAUUCUCAUAGGAUAUGCAUGUGGUAUAUUUAAUUGUUUAUAAAUGUUAAAUAUUUUUCCCAUAAACUAGGUCAAACCAUGAAACCUUUGAAAAUUUUGGCUUCAGAGAAAAUCGUAUGCCAAAUAGGGAGUACAUUCUUAUAUCAAGGGGCUCCUCACUUUUCCUGCUCCUUUUUGUCCCUCCUUUGAGUUUGAUUGUGCCCGAGUCGACAAAAAUUGUCGUCAAAAUAUAAGAGAUGGGUGUGAAAUUGUUAUGGACCAGAAAAAAAAACUAAAAUCAAAGCCCCAUCCCUACCUGCGCGACUCCAUCGCGCACGAACAAUCUGCUGAGAUCUGUUGAUACCAAAGUUCUGGUGCAAAGACAAACAAGAGGAUCAACAAAGAGGGUCAGGGAUAAAUGAACACGAACACACAACCACUGUGCAAAGCAUACCGUACAUGAAGAUACAUAUAUCAGUAGAUUGCACUCUGGAGUAGCUCCUCCUCCCCUCGACAGUCGAGGCCUACAACAAGGGGUGAACUCUUUGCAACUCAGAACAGCAGGAUCACGUUGACAACUGUGAUGCAGAUCAUGGCCAGGGUCGCGACUAUCGAUCCCGGACGGAAGGCUCUACGCAACCCUCUGUUCCUGGUGAAGUACUGAAAGGCGAGAUACACAGCUAUCGCCAAAGAUAGUAUCCUGCCAGCUUGAGUUCCCCUGUGCACGGGAGGUAGGCAUCGGAGCGAAUGAGCAAGAACUAAUACCCUAACAGAUACAGUAGUGGCAGUAUAGCCAAAAUAGGGAGAAUGUUUCAUACCUCAGACUCAUCACCUGGUAAGGAGCAAUGAUGAUAAGCCACAUUGUUGAGAGCGGAAGCUCCAGCUCACCUGCCAUAGACAUAAAGCAUGCGCCGUAAGUAACAUACCCCGGGUUGUAUGUUUUAUCGAUUAUCCAACUCAAUGUUAGCCUGAUGUUUGAAUCCUCCUUGUCACUCUACCUGGAGUGGGUAAGAACAAGCGCACCAAAAUCGCAAGAAAAGCUGUCCAGAGUCCAUAUUCUCUCCUAACAUGAGGAUUUGAUACCAUAGUAUAAGCAGGGCAAGAGAGAGUAUUCUUAUGUGAAACAAAGGGGAAAUGUAUCAGAUAACUCCUUGCACCAAAUAGCAGCGUCUUACUUGAUCCAUGGGAUUACACUGCUAGGUGCUUGCUGUGCAAACCAUGGCAUGAGCCAGGAUUUGUGUAUGCCUGUCUCUUUAGAAACCAACAGCACACUGCAAAAGGCAAAAAAGUAACAAAUAAACUGCUACGCUUUGUUGAUACCAAACUUUUGAUGCCAAGAUGAGCAAGAGAUCGACAAAAGGGGGGAGAAACUGGCCAUCAGGAAGAACUGAAAACUAACACUGUAUCACACAAAGACAGAACUACUUCCCAAACCACACCGUACACGGUGAUAUAUACUAUCAGUCAUGUCACAACUCAGAGGUCAUUCUUAUUACGAUAAAACAAGCUACAAAGUCUGACAGGAUGAUGCGCUACAAGGUUUCUUUUUAUUUAUCUGCACUCUGAAGUAGCUCUUGGCAACUCAGAACAGCAGGAUCACAUUGAUAACUGCGAUACAGAUGAUGGCCAUGGUCGCAACUAUCGAUCCCUGAUCGAAGGCUUUUCCUAUUCCUCCGGUCCUGGUGAAGUGCUGAAAGGCGAGGUACGCGGCUAGUACCAACGACACUAUCGCGCCACCUUGAGUUCCCCUGUAGAUAGGAAGUAGGACCGGAGAGAAUGAGGAAAAAGCAGCAACCAGGACAUAAACUGAAAAGCUAAGAACCUAACAUAUGCAGCAGUAGGCAAACAGUACAGCUAAUGUCUUUCCAAAUGGCGAGAAUGUUUCAUACCUCACAUUCAUCACCUGGUAAGGGGCAACGCUGACUGCCAGCAUCGUUGACAGCGGAAGCUCUAGCUCACCUGCAAUAGACAGAAGCACAUGCGUAAGUAACAUAUAUCUGUUCCAUGUCUCAUCAAAUAACACAAUUGAUUUUAGGCAGGACGUAUGGAUCUUCCUUGUCACUCUACCUGGAAAGGGUAAGAACAAACGCACCACAAGCGCAAGAAAAGCAGUCCACAGUCCAUAUUCACUCCUAAAAUUAGGAAUAGACACCACAGGAUAAGUAGGCCAAAAGUAAGUGUUCUUGUCUCAAAAAGAAUAAACAUCCAGUAGCUAUAGCAAGGAAAGGGGAAAAGGUAUCGUCAGAUAAUUCUUUGGGCCAAAUGGCAGAAUCUUACUUGAUCCAUGAGAUUACGGCGGUAGGUGCUUGCAGAACAAAUAAUGGCACGAGGAAAGAUUUGUGUAUGCCUGUGCCUUUAGCAAGCAAUAGCACUCUGCAAGAGGCAAAAGAGUAAUAAAUAAAUUCUCAAAUAAUAAUCGUUGAGGGGGGGUUGUACUUCUUCAGAAUAAUCCAAUCAUUUUAUGACAAAACCAAAUAUGUUGCGGAAUUAAAAAUCUACAAGGUGAGAAUAGUAGGAGCUGAGUUUUCAAAGAAUGUAUCACUUUCAGUUAUACAAGAUUGCCCGUCCUCAAGAAAACAAUUACAAUUUGGAGUCAUGGCCUGAACAGGCCCAGUAACUCAUCCAAGAUCUGAAGCAAGAUUACCACCUCAGCGUUGACAGUUAUUGUCGCAACAUGAAUAUGUGCUAGUACUUAUGAUACAUCGGAAGCAUAAAGUAGAUAUACUACGGUUCUGCGGCAAGCUAAGCAAGUCACCAACUGGACCGAAACCCCUGCAAGUUAUGUUCAACAGACUGAUGAUGUUAACGUGACUGGAAUUGAUGCCUUGGGUCAAUUUCUGCAUUCGACUAAUACGGCAUUCAAACUUUUUAAUACGAAAACCAUGCAAUGCACUGUCCUGUGAUACAAAGUGGCGCUAUUAAACACAUGGUGUUAUGUUCAAGUGCAAGCAGAACGAAAAUCUGGCAUCAUUCGUCAUCACAUCGCAUGGUGCUGCAAGUACACUAUCUAUCUAGUUCUUGUGAAGUGCGUUAAUGUUGCUCCUACCUGACUAGCUCCUAGAGCUGUGGAUUCACGUGAUGCGUUGUGUACUCGCCGUGAAAAUAUAUGUGCAUGGUUAUUGAUCAACAGACCAACUGUAUAGAGGACAUUGUAUAGUAGCUGCGUCAAUUAACUCGGAUAGGAGGGAGUAGCAGUUCUUUUAAGAAAAAAAGUAUGCAAAAGUUGUCGUAAUGUCAUCUGAGCUCUGCUCUGAUCGAGUAACCAUCAACAGACUGCAGAAUCUGUGUGACAGGGAUCGCGCAUCUCACAAUCCGGCACCAGCAUCAGCAGGAGAAAACCAACACCCGCGCAUGGGAUUCGCCGCCCUCGCGGGCAAAAGCGCGAACAGAUUCGGAGCGCGGAAAGGCUCGUGCGUUUCUGCGCGAGCAAAUCGUGGCGGAGAAAGGUACUGCUUUAUGGUUGGGUAGCGAGGAGGAGGGGAGGGGGGCGAGGCACUCACGCGGCGGCCGCGACGGAGACCCACUGCGUGGUGGGCGGGCUGAGGUACGCCGAGGCGCUGCAGACGACGGCGCUCCCCCGGCUCCGGCACGGCCGGACCAGCGGCUGCGGCCUCAGCGGCAGAGCGGCGCAUCCCCUGCAAACAGGAAGACGAUAAGAUCACCGGACGGCGCGGUGGGUAAGCGAAUCGCACGGAAGGAGAGCGGGCGCCGGCGCGCGCCGAGGGGACCCGGGAAAGCAGCCUGACCUGAGCGCGGCCGUGGUCCGCACCGGCACGGCGGCCGCGGAGAGCGGGGAGCAGCCCGCAUUCCGCGCCGCCCGCGCCCGCGGCGGCGGCGCGGGGCAGGGCGCCGCGGUGGGGAUGGCGAGGCGCAGCGAGAUGGACAUGGUGUCGGGUCCCGAGCGGUUCGUCGGAGCUGGAAGCGUCGCCGGUGGAUGGAUGAUGGUGUCCGUGUCUGGAAGUCUGUCGAACCGUAGCACUGGAGUGAUGAGGGGUGGGCGAGCGGGGGGAGCGCGUGCGUGCGUGAGUGAGCACAUCGAUCAGAUCAGGCUCGGGUAGCGGCGAGGGCGGGCGGGCACGUGGCGGGGCCUCGAUGGACGCGGGGCGGGCGUGGGGGCGGGUGCCGACUUGCCGUGCGGUCACCGCGUCCACGGCUUGCCUGGCCUCGGCUCCUGCGAUGCAUGCAUGCCGGUGAACGCACCGCCAGGGGAGGGGAGAGAGGUGGUCGGCACGCACGCACGGCACGGACGGACGCAGACGGGGCACAGGACAGGACGAGGGUACGCGUCGACAUGGUGCGCAGCACCAAAAAUGCUCGACAUACAAAGACUUACACGAUUCUAACAACCAAUCACAAACCUCUCCCUUUGAUUUUCAGGGGAUGGGCCGCCCCGCUUAUCUAUUGACCAAUCAAGGUUAACCAUCCUGUAAAAGCCUGUAAAUCAUUUGUACGUGCAGCAUUGCCGUGCGCGGCACCGCUGCGGUCGAUCGGCGAUACCGCUCCUGUGCUAAUCCUGUAGAUGUACUUCGUUCCACGGACCACGGCACCUUGGGAAGGAAAGGACGAAGUGGUGAUGUUACACGACUAGACCGUCUCUUGGAGCCGUGUACCACAUGAGACACGGCGAUGCUCGUGGAGUCGUAUGCACGCGAAGCCACGUCACGAUCACGACUGAUUUAUCUCUCCACCUAACAAAAAGAUCCACCCGAACGAACUCAUACGUGGUUGGAUGAUUAGAGGGACUGUGGUAUUCCCAAUCCAUUAGGGUUUAAAUCGUGUUGCUCGCAUUUAUUUUUAAAUUUAUUUCAGAAUUUCCGACGAUGCGCAUUUGGUGGGAGGGACGUCGCCGUCGACGACGAGGUGCCUACGAUAACUUCGUAAACAAUUAUAUCAUACAAAGGUCGAUGUGGCACACCUUGCAGACCGGGGUUUGACUCCUGUUAGGGGCGGAUUUUCACGAUCUCACUCGGUGGGCAUUUUUAAGUAUCCAUGGAGGUCGAAUUUUUGAAUGAGUGGAAAAAAUUUCAAAUUUUGAAGUUAAAAAAAAUGCACGUGCACAUGGGGAUGUUGUCUAAUGAUGUGUGGAUGUUCAUGAUAAAAAGACAACAUUAAGGCAUCUCUAACCGAUCCCUCAAAACCAAACAUUUUGAUGAGUUAAAUCGUAUCUAGUCAGAUCCUCAUCCGAUUUAACCCCUCAAAGACUAUACUCCUCAUGGCGGCCGUCGUGUGUAUUUACUUAUCUGUGUGCCUCAAUCUCAGGAUACAUUUUCGUCUUCCCCGCCCCACCUCUUUCUUUCGCUCGCACCACAUUGACGUUGGCGCCAUCCAAAUCCACCACACACCUCCACCGACGUUCCCACCAACACCACAACCCAAAGUUCAAGUAGUGCCGCCCUCAAAAUGGCAGGAUCCAACCGUCAAAGGUCGUUGUAGUUCAUUCGAGCGUGAAUCCGCGUCAUGAUGCGCAGCCGACCCGAGCACGCAGUGACGCCUCCCCCCUCCUCCUCCGCCAAUGUACCACUGUCGUCGUCGAAAAGGAAGUACUACGGUGUGCGACACCGGCCAUGGGGUUGUGGGUGUCGGAAAUCAAGGACCAGAACACCAACCAUCACUGGCUCCUUUCAGUCGGCUGAGCUAGUGGCGAGGUACGACGUGAAGGCAGUGAUCCUCUGUGGUGGCCUUCGAGCGGCUCGAGGCGGCACGCGCCAAUGAGGAAUACAUGGCGAAGCUCUAUCGGAAUCAUCCGGAGCUCGUCGUCGAGGAGCACCGAAGGCUCGAGCUGUGCAAGGGGGAACGAGGCCGGACCAUCCGAAGGGGUUGUCAUCGACCUAUCCUCGCGCACCGAAGACCGAAGGCUCGAGCUGUGCAAGGGGGAACGAGGCCGGGCCAUCCGAAGGGGUUGUCAUCGACCUAUCCUCGCGCAACUCCGGCUUCGGUCUGACAAUGGUGACUCAGACGACUGCAUCGGUUGGAAGAAGCUCGAGAACGAAAGCGAUUAGUUAUUUUUACUCCCUCUGUUCGGAAUUACUUGUCACAAAAAUAAAUGUAUCUACAAUUAAAAUACAUCUAGAUACAUUCAUUUCUUGGACGAGUAAUUCCGAACGGAGGGAGUAGUUUUAUCUUGUUGGAAUCUUUUUAGUUUAAAUUCGUCUAUUUGCAAUGUAGUUUGAAUCGGAUUGUAGUAUCUAUGUUUAAAUUCGGCUAGGAACCACAUUUCUUGAAACUUAAAAAAUUGUUUUUUGAUUUUUUUUUGCAAUUUUCCUUUAGCAAUGAGCUAUAUAUAUAUUUUUGAAACAAGGCAAAAGAUUUACCAUUUUCAUUGAUUAAGAAGGAGUGAGAAUUGCCUGGUUAAUUGACGGAAAACCAGGCUAAAACCGAUAGAACCAACCCACAAAAAAUGGGUACCACCGGCCAACCUGGCACCGACAUGGGAUCACAGAGCUACAAGGAGGGAAAGACAUCCGCCGAGCAGUCGCAAGCGUCAUCGUCAUCACCGGCAACCUCCGAACGGACGACUCCGACUUCACCGUAGACCUCAUACCCAGCGACGACGACGAGCUAAGCUAAGCUACCAUUGAAGUGGGUCGCUAAUCAACCUGUUGCAACAGAUCGAUCCUCACACGGUGACAGAGACAUCUCAUCACAUCACAUCAGAUCGGAUCAGAUAAAUAAACAGGCACAGCACAGCACCUCAAUCAACACGCUUCUUCACCAGAUUUGCAGGCAGGGAUUGGAUUACAAGCAGAUUGAUUACAUGGAGGGGAUCGAUUUACCGAGCAAGAGAACAGCACGCGGACAGGCAAGAGCUAGCUAGUAGUAUUGGUAGUACAUGGCGCAUCUAUGGGGUAUGGGGUGUCAGUCUAGCCGGCGUAGAUGUGGAUGUGGAGGGCGAGGGUGAGGAUGGUGAAGGCGGCGAAGAAGAGGAGGGUGUGGACGAAGAUGGCCUUGCCGUUGGUGUGGAGGCCGCCGAAGUCGACGUGGCGGUGCGACCCCGGCAUCUCGAACAGCAGCCCCGGCGAGAGCAGCACGAACAGCACCACCCCCACCACCACCGGUGCCCAGUCCGCCAUCCUCCGCCGCUUCUCCUUCUUCCUUGGACUUCGGUCGAUCUGAUCUGAUCUGAUCUCACGGCCGCAGAUAUGGAUCUUGGUUGUGAACACGCAGGAGCGCUCGGGAAGGGUCGGCAGUGGAGUGGGGGAGUGGAUUCUGGAGGAGUAUAUAGAAAGGGGGCGAGCGGCGGAGCAGGGGAAAGUAGGAGGGAACAAAGGAGCAGCCGUCACGCGGACGGUUGGCGCGAUUCGAUGCCUUGCAUCGGGUGGGAUGCAAGCCGCGCCGCCCAGCCGACACCCGUGGGCCGUGGCGAUAACUCCUGCCUUUUUCCUCCCGUGCGUGCACAGUGUGCCUGCGCGUGUCGCCUUGGCGGUGCGGGCUCGCAAAGGGUUGAUGGACCACGCGGAGGGGGCACGAGGAGAUUGCCCUUCUUUUCCACGAGCUACCCCACAUCCACGAAAAUUCAAGUUAUCUUUACGUGAUUGGCCCCUUUUCAAGUUGUGAUUGAAGUGGUCCUGGCCAUGAGCAGCCCGGCCCGGAGGCCCCGACCUGACCAUGCCCACGGGCCGGUCCUGGGCCUAGAUUUUUAGGCCCGACAGCCAGGCCGGGUUGGGCCCGGGCCCGUCGUAUUCACCAUGUAAGGAAGAGGCCCGGCCCGUGGCCCGUGGCCUGAGGUCCGGAGGGCUUUUAGCGUGAUGGACCAGGCUCGGGCUCAAUUUUUAGGCCCGACAGCCAGGCCGGGCUGGGCCCGGGCCCGUCGUAUUCACCAUGUAAGGAAGAGGCUCGUGGCCCGUGGCCUGAGGCCCGGAGGGCUUUUAGCAUGAUGGACCAGGCUCGGGCCCGAUUUUUAGGCCCGACAGCCAGGCCGGGCCAGGCUCAGGCCUAGGUUUUUUGCAUCGGGCUUUGGUAGGCCCGGCCCGAAGCCCGGUCUAGCCCGGCAGAUGGCCAGGUAUAGAUUGAAGAUAGAGGGGAAGGAGGGGUACAUCUCGUGAAAUUCGGAGGGACAGAGAAUUAGUGGGAAGGUCAAGUAGGAUCAUGUAUCAGGUUACAUAGGAGGGUCUUCGUUCCGUGACCGCACCAAGUUUGCGAAGGGCAUGAAGGUAUGCUCUCGAUUCAAGAGUGUUGAGAGAAGCAUAAAGUGGCAAACAUGAUGUUGUUGAAGGCGACAAAGACAGAGUUCAAGGCCCUAUCUCAGUGGACAUACUGCGGUGGGAGAUGGACGAGGCCAAGUUGGCCGAUCUAGGUCAUAGAGCGGGCCAAGUACAAGCUUGUCAGGGCUCCUAAUAACCCGUCAGCCGUCGCGGUGGCGUUGACACUAUCAUUCUAGAUGCUGCCAAUGGCGGAUCGUUCGAGCCUUAGGACGCUAGCAAUGCCGAAGCGGUGGAGAUGGUGGUCGGGGCGCCUAAGCCAGGUGACCAUACACUCCCUUGGAGGUCGACGAUUACAAGCCUCAAGGCUAGAGGUAGAUUCGAUGUCUAUACCGUGACGCGUAUAUCAAAUGCAAGCAUGCAAGCCGAUUCCAUUGGGAACAAAGGACUAACCGCCAUUGACAAAUGCCUGUCAGUGAGAACAAAAGGACUAACCGCCAUUGACAAAUGCCUGUCGGUGACGUGAUGAGGCCUGUGAUCGAUGUCGGUGCUCGCCGUUUAGAUCUUCAUUCUGAUGCUCGCCGCCGCCAAUGUGAGAAUGGAGAGAGGGGGCAGUGAGCGAUGAGAGGAAGGUGAGGGGGGUUAUGACAACGCUUCGGGAAGCAACACGUCAUCUCGAGCGUGGCUCCUCACGUGCAACUGACGCCACUCAUGUGAUCGAUGUCGGUGCUCGCCGUUUAGAUCUUCAUUUUGAUGCUUGCCGCCACCAGUGUGUGGAGAGAGGGGGCAGUGAGCGAUCAGAGGAAGGUGAGGGGGGUUAUGACGAGCUCCGGGAAGCAACACAACGUCUCCAUGAGCAACGCUACAUCCACGAAAAUUUAAGUAAUCUUUACGUUAUUAACCACUUGUCAGGUUGUGAUUGGAAAGAGAGUGGAAGGAGGGGCCCAUCCUGUGAAAUUCGUGGGGAGACAGAAUUAGUGGGAAGGUUACGUAGGUAGGGUCAUGUAUCAGGUUACAUAGGAGGGGCUCGCUCCGUGACCGCACCAAGUUCGUGAAGACCAUGAAGGCGUGCCCUCGAUUAAAGAACGUUGACGAGAUGCAUAAAGUGGCAAACAUGGUGUUGUCGAAGGCGGCAAAGACGGAGUUGAAAGGUUGGUACCUGACCCUAUGUCAGUGGACAUACUACGGUGGGCCAUGGAUGAGGCUGGUUGGCAGUGGCGUAGCUGUAGGGUGGCCAGGGUGGUCCAUGGACCACCCUGGAAUUCAGCCCAUUAGUAUACUACUAGUCUGUAAAAACGAAAAAGAAAAAAGCAAUCCCAACUCAGCCCAUGUACACGUGAAGGAUUGGCUUGUUAGUCUCCGUGAAUGUUCGUGUGUGCGCUGAUUGAUCGACACCAGAAGACCUUCCUGAUUCCCGUCGCCUCUUCCAGUUCUGUAACCCUAGCAGCGAGCGCCAUCUGCCAUCGGUCAUCCGCCAUCGCCCCGUAGCCCCAAGCGUGCAUCCGCCGGCCGACAGGGCACUCAUCGACGCGACGGACCGGCGGCCGGGCGAAGGACACUUGCAGGCUGCGGCCAACAGGCGGCCGGCGAGGCACGCACGCACGCACAACCUAGUUAGGUUGAGCACCACUUGGUCAGUUUUUCAUCCUACUACUCCAAUCUAAAGUAAGAUAUUUUGUUCUAAUUCAAAGUGUAAAUUUCUUUUGCUAUGAAGAUUUGAACAAGUUAAGCUGAGAUCUGAGAGUGCAAGGUAUAGUUUUAUUUUUUGUGAUUGAUCAUAAUUGAUAUAUAGAACUGACUGAUCAUUAGGAUUUAUUCCAAUUGAUAACUAAUAAAUUAAUGUUUGUGUACAGUUAUUGCAAAAUGAAGAGGACCCCGCGACAUAGCAUCUCUUUCUAUUGUGCUAUACCCUAUAUAUACAUCGAGCGAGAUGCUUUCUCCAAAGUGAAUGAAAAUGAUAUAAUAAUAGUUUUCAUGGUCUUGAGAAGGUGUUAUCCCGACAAAUAAGGCGUGUUAUCUUCUUUUACGCGAAUUUAAUACUUAACCAUGAAUUUUAUUAUCAUUUUAAAGACCUUAUUGAUAUAUGCUUUUGAUAUAAUUUGUAUGCAUAUGUUGGUUUAAUUGAAUUCGUGGUGCAAUUUUUUUCAUGUCAAUUGGACCACCCUAACAUAAAAUCCUAGCUACGCCACUGCUGGUCGGCCGAUCCAGGUAAGAGAGUCAAAUGGGACAAGUACAGGCUUGUCAAAGGCUCCUGAUGACCACUCAGCCGUCGUGGUGGCGUCGACACUAUCGUUCUAGAGGAAGAAGACGAGGAGGAGAUGGUGGAUGCUGCCAAUGGCGAAUCGGCUAAGCCUCAGGACGCUGGCAAUGACGAAGCGUUGGAGAUGGUGGUCAAGGCGCCUAAGCCAGGCGACCGUACACCCCCCUUGGAGGUCAACGAUUACAAGCCUCGAGGCUAGAGGUAGAUUCGAUGUCUACCGCGUGAUGCGUAAUUGAAUGUGGACAUGCAAACCGAUUCCAUUGGGAACAAAGGACUAGCCAACAUUGACGAAUGCCUGCCGAUGAAGUGACCUGUGAUUGAAGUCGGUGCUCGUCGUGAUGUAAGUAGAGAGAGAGGGGGAGUGAGCGAUGAGAGAAGAGGGAGGGGGGGUUGGUUAUGACGACGCUUCAGGAAGCAACACGACGUCUCAAGCGUGGCUCCUCACGUGCCUCAAGUUACAUCGCUCGGGUCUGGCUGUGAGAAAACGGCCAAUUCGAGCGUUCCUCCUCAACCAGGGCCGGAGGUGCUUUCAAAGUAUGUGCGGGCCAAGAUUUUGUUGCAAGACAGAAGUCUCCCCGAUUCAACCAGGUAAAUGUCUUCCUCUGCUAGGAUAUGCAGUUUGUGCAUCAAACACAAAUAUUAUUCAGGCAAACCAACAUAUGUGCAGCAGCAUGAUGUGAGGCACAGCUCCAAGCAAGCAACCACGGCAACAGCUAAUGCAGACAGAAAUAUUAAGUAAGAUGCACGUAGCACCACAAAUCUCUUUAUGACUUCUUACAUCGACAAGAUUUGGGAAAAAAAAGAAGCAAGUUACAGCACCUACAAGAUGCCCUAGGGGAUGGAUGGAUGGAUGGAUGGUAAACAACUCCACCACUCCUCUAAGGUCCGGAGGGUGGUUCCAGAGAGCGAAGUACACAUUGCAUACAAGAGCAAAGGCCUAACAGGGUAGUUUCAGCUCACAUCCUC